GUCUCCACCUCUUCUUUACUUUCUUUACACCCUAAUUCCCCUCUGGGAAUUCCUUGUAAUCACACGAGCACGCCGUUGUAACCAGAAAUUAUUGAAAUGAAAAGUGUUAUACAUUUUUGAACUGUCUUUCUGGCAUUGUCGUUCUACUGGUAAUACAUCCGCAGGUUAGCGGAAUUCCAGCUCCUUGGAAUUUCUCGACCAUCUAGGGCCUCUAACUGGUAGGAGCCAGGUCGGUUUACCCAGCGAACCCUAUACGGGCCUUCCCAAUUUGGCGCUAGCUUCCCA
rnacentral:lncRNA from 1 species